UUUAAGGUCUAACCUGCCCAAUGAGGAUUUAAAUGGCCGCAGUAUUUUGACUGUGCAAAGGUAGCAUAAUUAUUAGUUUUUUAAUUGGAAGCUUGUAUGAAGGGUUGGACGAGAUGAAAUCUGUCUUUAUUUAAAUUAAAAUAUAAUUUAACUUUUAAGUAAAAAGGCUUAAAUGUUUAUAAAAGACGAGAAGACCCUAUAGAUCUUUAUUUAAUUAAAAUUUUAAUAAUUUAGGAUUAUUUUAAUUUAAAGUUUUAAUUAAAUUUUAUUGGGGUAAUAUAAAGAUUAAAUAAAUUCUUUUUAUUUAUAACAUUGAUUUAUGAAUGUAUGAUCCAUUAAUAUUGAUUAUAAGAUUAAGUUACCUUAGGGAUAACAGCGUAAUUUUUUUGGAGAGCUCAUAUCGAUAAAAAAGUUUGCGACCUCGAUGUUGGAUUAAAAAUUAGCUUGGGUGCAGAAGCUCAAGAUUUUGGUCUGUUCGACCAUUAAAUUUUUACAUGAUCUGAGUUCAGACCGGCGUAAGCCAGGUCGGUUUCUAUCUUUAUUAAAAUAAAAUAUUUUAGUACGAAAGGACCAAAUAUUUAAUAUAAUUAUAUUUAUUUUUUGAAGAAUAUU
rnacentral:rRNA from 1 species